GCUGGGAUAGCUCAGUUGGUAGAGCAUGAGACUCUUUAUCUCAGGGCUGUGAGUUCAAGCCCCACAUUGGACA